rnacentral:rRNA from 1 species
UACGUAGGGUGCAAGCGUUAAUCGGAAUUACUGGGCGUAAAGCGUGCGCAGGCGGUUGUGCAAGACAGAUGUGAAAUCCCCGGGCUCAACCUGGGAAUUGCAUUUGUGACUGCACGGCUAGAGUGUGUCGAGAGGGGGUAGAAUUCCACGUGUAGCAGUGAAAUGCGUAGAGAUGUGGAGGAAUACCGAUGGCGAAGGCCAGCCCCCUGGGAUAACACUGACGCUCAUGCACGAAAGCGUGGGGAGCAAACAGG